AUGCUUCCUUGCUGGUUCUUUGUGGCCAUACUGGCCCCUGUAGGCCAGGCACUCCACCAAUCGCCAGACACAGUUGUCCAAGUGGGAGACUCUGUGACUCUGGACUGCUCUCAGAAGACAAAUGUAUUCUUGACCUUAUACUGGUACAAACUGCCCCUGGGGAAGGAUGCCACUCUGCAGUUGGUUCUCUACUCAAUGGAAGGUGGCACAGCAGAGAUUGCAAAGGAAUUCAGAAACCAUGUCCAGAGCACUGCGACUAAGGGCAGCCGCUUAUCUAUGAAGAUAGAUCAUGUCCUGCUCAAUGACUCAGGCACAUACUUCUGUGCUGAGCAAGACACACAAGCAGGACCCGUGGACAACAUCGUUUUCGGCAGUGGCACCAAACUUAGAGUAAUAGGGAAGAAUGAUGAGAUCAUACCUCCAGUUGUGGCUCUGUUUUCCCCAUCAAAGCAAGAGAUCCAACAGAAGAAUAAGGCCACACUGGUAUGCUUGGCCUCUGGAUUCUACCCUGAUUACAUGAAUUUGAUCUGGAAGGUGAAUGGUGCUGAAAGGACAGAAGGGGUGGGCACAGAUGAGUUUUCCACACAGAAUGGGAGUACCUACUCACUGACCAGCCGACUGAGGGUCUCAGCCUAUGAGUGGUCCAACCCUUCAAAUAAUUUUGAGUGUGUUGCCACAUUUUUUAAGAAUGGAACACUGGAAUCAAUACACAAAUCCAUCAGUGGUGAUGCUGGCUGUGCACUCAUGGAAGAUUCCUACUUGCGGUAUGGAAAUUCUCUGAAGCUGACUUACCUCAUGCUCUGCGGCAAAGCCUUGCUCUAUGCAAUUCUGUUGAGUGCUCUGCUGUGGACAGUCAAGGUUGGUGGAAAGUAUAAAGAGAAUAAAUGAAGAGUCCUCUUCAUCACACCAUUAGGAACAUGGCAAAUUUCUACUUUUCCAUAGCAAAGGAUCUAUGCUUCUAUCUAAGAACCUCUGAAUGUUAUUUCUUGGUGAUUCUCUGCUCCCACCCCCCCAACUAUUUUUUCCACUUUAUUGUAAUCACUACUGAGUUUUCCCUCUAAAUCCAUGUCACAUAAUAUCAUAUCAUAUAGUGACAUAUCACAACAUCUGUCAUAUUCUAUCAUGCACCAUACAGUAUCAUAUAAUUAAAACAAACACCUUCUUAAUACU